rnacentral:rRNA from 1 species
CACCUGCGCCACAAGUGGCAUUCACAUUUAUUGGGCCUAAAGCGUUCGUAGCCGGAUCAGCAAGUCUCGAGUGAAAUCGUUGCGCUUAACAAAACGACGUGCUUGAGAAACUACUAAUCUAGGGACCGGGAGGGGUUAGGAGUAUUCUGGAGGGAGCGGUAAAAUGCUAUAAUCUCCAGAGGACUACCUGUGGCGAAGGCGCCUAACCAGAACGGGUUCGACGGUGAGGAACGAAAGCUAGGGGAGCAAAAGGGAUUAGAUACCCCAGUAGUCCUAGCUGUAAACUCUGUGAAUUAGAUGUUGCGUAUUCUUCGUGAAUACGCAGUGUCGGAGCGAAGACAUUAAAUUCACCGCCUGGGAAGUACGGUCGCAAGGCUGAAACUUAAAGGAAUUGGCGGGAGAGCACUACAAGGGGUGCGGCGUGCGGUUUAAUCUAACUCUACGCAGAGAAUCUCACCAGCAGCGACGGCAGAAUGAAGGUCAGGUUGAAUGUCUUACCUAACGAGCCGAGAGGUAGUGCAUGGCCGUCGUCAGCUCGUGCCGUGAGGUGUCCUCUUAAGUGAGGUAACGAGCGAGACCCAUGCCCAUAAUUGCUAACGGGUACUUUAGUAUGACUGUGCACAUUAUGGGGACUGCUGUGGAAACACAGAGGAAGGUGUGGGCUACGAUAGGUCUGUAUGCUCCGAAUCUGCUGGGCUACACGCGCGCAACAAUGACUGAGACAAUGGGAUGCAACACCGAAAGGUGGAGCUAAACCUCCAAACUCAGCCCUAGUUUAGAUUGUGGAUUGUAAUUCAUCCACAUGACACCGGAAUCCCUAGUAAUCGGGCUUUAUCACGGCCCGGUGAAUAUGUCCCUGCUCUU